UACAGAGGUCUCAAGCGUUGUUCGGAAUUACUGGGCGUAAAGGGCGCGUAGGCGGCCCGCUAAGUCGAACGUGAAAUCCCCGGGCUCAACCCGGGAACUGCGUCCGAUACUGGCAGGCUUGAAUCCGGGAGAGGGAUGCGGAAUUCCAGGUGUAGCGGUGAAAUGCGUAGAUAUCUGGAGGAACACCGGUGGCGAAGGCGGCAUCCUGGACCGGUAUUGACGCUGAGGCGCGAAAGCCAGGGGAGCAAACGGG
rnacentral:rRNA from 1 species